ACUUGACACGAGUUUACGCUGAAUGAGACUCAAAGAAUACCGAACACAAGUACAAAUGACACAAAUGAAAGGGUUAUGAAAGAAAAGUUAUGUCUUUAGAAGGAGGAAAUAAGUAAAUGUUUAAAAGGAAUGAAAAGAAUCUUAUCUGAAAGUACGUGACCACUUUAAUGAAUCAUGACAUGCAUUUGGACUGAACGUUUGAUCCUUCUAAGUUGUCCAAAUCUCAUGAAACAAUGUUGUACCUUUCAGUCUAUAGCCUGACUUCUAUCUUGAUUGUG
rnacentral:lncRNA from 1 species